AUGGAGAGCUGUGCCACGUCAGAACAUUCCAGGCCACAUUCCAGUUGCCCCAGCUGGGAAGGUAGAACUGAAGAAGGCAAAACAAUGAGGCCAUCAAAUAAAGAAAUGACCAAAAGAAAUUCUGCCAAUCCAGCAGAAAGGGAAACUGAUGAGGUGGUCCUGAGGAGAAGACAAAAGCAGAUCAAUUUUGGCAAGAAUACCCUGGCAUAUGACAGAUACAUUAAAGAAGUUCCAAAGUAAGUUGCCCAGUGUUGUUCAUUUCCGAAUGAACCCUUAGUUGUUCCUGGUGGGUGUUUGUGUGUGUAGAAUAGCUCACAGCUAUUAGUUCUCUUGAAAUUCUUCCUGUGGUUUUUACUGCUGAGUGUGACAUUAUAUGGUGUGUGAUAUCUCUGGGUAAUUUGAGUCAGCUGUUCCAGCACUUUUCCUUCUCAACUUAGUGUUCACCCUCACCUCCGUGUCUGUGGGGUGGGGAGAGGAGAAGGCCUUGAAGCUGUGCAAGCC
rnacentral:lncRNA from 1 species